rnacentral:lncRNA from 1 species
CAGUAACAUGCACAUUCUUUCUCUUCUUUCAGACUGAUCUCCGCCUAUGGUCAGCUAGCCGGGCUGGCGACCUAUGCUGGGUUCACAAAACCUGGCUACAUCAAUAACUGAGAAAACUGCCAAAGAAGCACGCAACAACACACAGAAAUACCUUUUCAAAAUCCAGGAUGGCUCUUGACCUUAAGGGUCCAUUGGAAAAGAGAGAGAGAGCAAGCCUGAAACCCUCCUGUUUAUUAAGGGGAAAGACAUUCGAGAAAGUUCAACACAAAUAAGGCAAAGGGUCAGGUUUCAGGGGGUUGCUUGGUGAUGUCUUGCAGUCAGUAGAUUGACUGACAUCUUGGAAGACCACACCCAUCUCAGGUGCUGUGUGGGAUGAAAGGCAGAGUGAGAGGAGAGUGUCCACAUGUGUUGCAUGGCCCAAAGAGCACACAACGCCAGGCUAGUGCUUCCAAAUGCUCAAAUGCUCAUAGCUCACGCACACAGCCCAUGGCUUGCUGGCGACAUCUGCCAAUAUGCCAAAAUUUAUUUAUUUGCAUGGCCCUUGUGUGUAUCCUGAGACUGAAAUACCAGACUACUUAAUUCAGCUGUCACAGGAAUCUCAGGUCUGAAUAUUGUCCAUGCUCUGUGCACUGUGGUUAAAGAUUAGACAAUUUAAAGUUAUCUCUUUUCUGUAGAUACUCAUUCACUCAAAGUGAAAUAUUACACAACUCAACAAUGUGUGUUCACUGUACCUUUAUAACAAUGUGCCAAAUUAUUUUAAAGCAUUCCAUCUUAUCACUCUUGGGUACAAGGUUUUGAGUACACUUGAUAAAAUUUUUGGUAGAAUCUUAAUAAUAUAUCUAGGAUAGGAAAUAAGGCCAAUCACUUCAGUUUUUCUUCUUCUUCUUCUUCUUCUUAAAUUUCUGGUUAAUAUUCAAGAAGGCAGCAGAAAAAGUGAGUAAUAAUAAUAAUCAUAAAUAUUUACUGAGUAUGUCUAUUAUUCAAAUGUAUUGUUCUAAGAAUUUAAUUCUUAUUAACUCAUUUAAUAGUCUUCUUUUUUACAAAGGGAAACUAAAUCACAAAAAGGUUAAGCAUCAUGCCCAAGGCCAAGAUAUUAAAUAAAAAAUUCAGAUUCUGAACUCAGGCAGAAAUUCUAAAGUGCAAAGUUUUAAACAUUGAUGACCAAUAAAAACAAACCUCAAAAUGAUAUUUAUCUCAGGCAUUUAAAGUGAUUAUGUCAUAUUACUUAAUAAAUGGAAUAUCUUUAUUUAUAAGCUUUUAAGAUGGAAUAAUUUUUUAUUAAUGUUGUCUUCCAGGAGAGCAAAUGUGUUACAGAGUUAAAAAAUAACAAGUAUGAUUUAUUGAAAUAGUAUUAUCUUAUAAAUAAAAAGAGAAUAAUGAAAUAUGUCACAGAGCAGCAUGAUUACUGAUAGAGGGAGGUGUUGAAAUUUUAUUAUUUUUAUUGAAAUAUAUUUAAAAUGUCAACCUAGUAGCUAUUUAAAAAGGCAUAGAGUUCAGAUGAAGAUGAAAAAGUUAGAAAUUGGAGAGACAUCAGCAUUGACAGAUACCUAAUGUUUUUAAUAGCUUCACAGUAAAUUUUUAAGAAUUUAUUUUUCUUUUUGACUAGGAUACCAAUGCAAUUUUCACUGCAGGUAUUGUGAUAAAUGGUAUUUAUUCAUCAAUGAUCCAUUCUGCU